rnacentral:rRNA from 1 species
AUACGUAGGUGGCAAGCGUUGUCCGGAAUUAUUGGGCGUAAAGCGCGCGCAGGCGGCCUUUUAAGUCUGAUGUGAAAGCCCACGGCUUAACCGUGGAAGGUCAUUGGAAACUGAGAGGCUUGAGUACAGAAGAGGAAAGCGGAAUUCCACGUGUAGCGGUGAAAUGCGUAGAGAUGUGGAGGAACACCAGUGGCGAAGGCGGCUUUCUGGUCUGUAACUGACGCUGAGGCGCGAAAGCGUGGGGAGCAAACAGGAUUAGAUACCCUGGUAGUCCACGCCGUAAACGAUGAGUGCUAAGUGUUAGGGGGUUUCCGCCCCUUAGUGCUGGAGCAAACGCAUUAAGCACUCCGCCUGGGGAGUACGGCCGCAAGGCUGAA